GCCAGCGUAGCUCACCGGUAGAGCAGUGCCUUCAUAAGGCAUGUGUAACAGGUCCGAUUCCUGUCGCUGGUACAA
rnacentral:tRNA from 1 species